GGUCAAGCGAACAAGUGCAUGUGGUGGAUGCCUUGGCGAUCACAGGCGAUGAAGGACGCGGUAGCCUGCGAAAAGCUUCGGGGAGCUGGCAAACAAGCUUUGAUCCGGAGAUGUCCGAAUGGGGAAACCCGGCCCUUAUGGGUCAUCCCUGACUGAAUACAUAGGUCAGGGAAGCGAACGCGGCGAACUGAAACAUCUAAGUAGCUGCAGGAACAGAAAUCAACCGAGAUUCCCAGAGUAGUGGCGAACGAAAUGGGAAGAGCCUUGUACUCUUUAGCAGCAUUGUUAGCAGAACGGGAUGGAAAGCCCGGCCAUAGCAGGUGAUAGCCCUGUAUGCGAAAACAGCGUUGUGGAACUAGGUGUACGACAAGUAGGGCGGGACACGUGAAAUCCUGUCUGAAGAUGGGGGGACCAUCCUCCAAGGCUAAAUACUCGUGAUCGACCGAUAGUGAACCAGUACCGUGAGGGAAAGGCGAAAAGAACCCCGGGAGGGGAGUGAAAUAGAUCCUGAAACCGCAUGCAUACAAACAGUCGGAGCCUGGAAACGGGUGACGGCGUACCUUUUGUAUAAUGGGUCAGCGACUUACAUUCAGUGGCAAGCUUAACCGAUUAGGGAAGGCGUAGCGAAAGCGAGUCCGAAUAGGGCGUUCAGUCGCUGGGUGUAGACCCGAAACCAGACGAUCUAUCCAUGGCCAGGUUGAAGGUGCGGUAACACGUACUGGAGGACCGAACCCACUAACGUUGAAAAGUUAGGGGAUGAGCUGUGGAUAGGGGUGAAAGGCUAAACAAGUCUGGAAAUAGCUGGUUCUCUCCGAAAACUAUUUAGGUAGUGCCUCGUGUCUCACCUUCGGGGGUAGAGCACUGUCAUGGUUGGGGGGUCUAUUGCUGAUUACCCCGCCAUAGCAAACUCCGAAUACCGAAGAGUGCAAUCACGGGAGACAGACAUCGGGUGCUAACGUCCGGUGUCAAGAGGGAAACAACCCAGACCGCCAGCUAAGGUCCCUAAGAUUGGCUAAGUGGGAAACGAAGUGGGAAGGCUAAAACAGUCAGGAGGUUGGCUUAGAAGCAGCCAUCCUUUAAAGAAAGCGUAAUAGCUCACUGAUCGAGUCGUCCUGCGCGGAAGAUGUAACGGGGCUAAGCCAGUCACCGAAGCUGCGGAUGCACGUAAGUGCAUGGUAGGAGAGCGUUCUGUAAGCCUGUGAAGGUGUCUUGUAAAGGAUGCUGGAGGUAUCAGAAGUGCGAAUGCUGACAUGAGUAGCGAUAAAGGGGGUGAAAAGCCCCCUCGCCGUAAGCCCAAGGUUUCCUACGCAACGUUCAUCGGCGUAGGGUGAGUCGGCCCCUAAGGCGAGGCAGAGAUGCGUAGCUGAUGGGAAGCAGGUUAAUAUUCCUGCACCGUCGUAUGAUGCGAUGGGGGGACGGAUCGCGGAAGGUUGUCCGGGUGUUGGAAGUCCCGGUCCCUGCAUUGGAGAAGGCGCUUAGGCAAAUCCGGGCGCGGAAUUCAAGGAUGUGGGGCGAGCGGCCUAGUGCUGCGAAGCAAUUGGAAGUGGUUCCAAGAAAAGCCUCUAAGCUUCAGUCAUACGAGACCGUACCGCAAACCGACACAGGUGGGCGAGAUGAGUAUUCUAAGGCGCUUGAGAGAACUCGGGAGAAGGAACUCGGCAAAUUGGUACCGUAACUUCGGGAUAAGGUACGCCCUUGUAGCUUGACUGGCCUGCGCCAGGAGGGUGAAGGGGUUGCAAUAAAAUGGUGGCUGCGACUGUUUAAUAAAAACACAGCACUCUGCAAACACGAAAGUGGACGUAUAGGGUGUGACGCCUGCCCGGUGCCGGAAGAUUAAAUGAUGGGGUGCAAGCUCUUGAUUGAAGUCCCGGUAAACGGCGGCCGUAACUAUAACGGUCCUAAGGUAGCGAAAUUCCUUGUCGGGUAAGUUCCGACCUGCACGAAUGGCGUAACGAUGGCCACACUGUCUCCUCCCGAGACUCAGCGAAGUUGAAGUGUUUGUGAUGAUGCAAUCUCCCCGCGGCUAGACGGAAAGACCCCAUGAACCUUUACUGUAGCUUUGCAUUGGACUUUGAACCGAUCUGUGUAGGAUAGGUGGGAGGCUUUGAAGCGUGGACGCUAGUCUGCGUGGAGCCGUCCUUGAAAUACCACCCUGGUUUGUUUGAGGUUCUAACCUUGGUCCGUGAAUCCGGAUCGGGGACAGUGCAUGGUAGGCAGUUUGACUGGGGCGGUCUCCUCCCAAAGUGUAACGGAGGAGUUCGAAGGUACGCUUGGUACGGUCGGACAUCGUACCUAAAGUGCAAUGGCAAAAGCGUGCUUAACUGCGAGACCGACAAGUCGAGCAGGUGCGAAAGCAGGACAUAGUGAUCCGGUGGUUCUGAAUGGAAGGGCCAUCGCUCAACGGAUAAAAGGUACUCUGGGGAUAACAGGCUGAUACCGCCCAAGAGUUCAUAUCGACGGCGGUGUUUGGCACCUCGAUGUCGGCUCAUCUCAUCCUGGGGCUGUAGCCGGUCCCAAGGGUAUGGCUGUUCGCCAUUUAAAGAGGUACGUGAGCUGGGUUUAAAACGUCGUGAGACAGUUUGGUCCCUAUCUGCCGUGGGCGUUGGAAUCUUGACGGGGGCUGCUCCUAGUACGAGAGGACCGGAGUGGACGUACCGCUGGUGUACCUGUUGUCUCGCCAGAGGCAUCGCAGGGUAGCUAUGUACGGAAGAGAUAACCGCUGAAAGCAUCUAAGCGGGAAACUCGCCUGAAGAUGAGGAUUCCCUGGAGCCUUGAGCUCCUUGAAGGGUCGUUCGAGACCAGGACGUUGAUAGGCUGGGUGUGGAAGCGCAGUAAUGCGUUAAGCUAACCAGUACUAAUUGCCCGUAAGGCUUGAUCCU
rfam:Cupriavidus basilensis strain 4G11 chromosome main, complete sequence.